GGGGAUGUAGCUCAGAUGGUAGAGCGCUCGCUUAGCAUGGAGGUACGGGGAUCGAUACCCCGCAUCUCCG
rfam:Nicotiana attenuata strain TT scaffold18659, whole genome shotgun sequence.